AUAUAACUAACCAAGGAAGGUGUGCCUAAGAAAACUCAAAGCUUAGAGCACAUGUUUGAAGCUAUCUUUCUGUAUUUUCUAUGAAAAUGCCUGUGUUCUCCUUGCUACUGCUUGGAUAAAUGCAUCUAUUUGACCUUUGUAACAUUUUGUAAGUAAAGCAUUUUAAACUUACUUAACAGUGGGAGGUCAGAUCAUUGCAAGAGAGGUAGAAAGAGGAGUACUGUUUGCAAGUGGACUAAAUGGGAUAAAGGGUUCCAACAACUUAUAUUCCUAACACUAUACUGCUGCUUGACUUUUUUGAGUUUACACUGUGUUACUGGUGGCUCUCUCCUGCUGGAGAGUGAGCUUAGCCCCAUAGUUUGAACCCAGGUACCCAGCCAAUUCUUUUGUUUUUUUACCCCACAUGUGUGGGUCACAGGGAUUAUAUUUUUUCCUCCUAAAAUUAGCCUCAUCAGAAGUGGCUUGUUGGGUUGGGGAAAGCCAUUAUUCUAGCUUCCUGGCAGGUGGGUCACUGUUGAAUACUGGGAAGCAGAGGGGUGAGGUAGUGUGCAGGUUAGCAUGCUGAAACAUCAGUGCUUCUGUCAGAGCAUUUGCACCAUGUAUGCUUCCCAAAUGUAGCAAGAAAUGUUUGUUUUUAGCUGGCGAUUCUUUUACCAUUCCAAAUCCCUUUCUAUUACCAGUAGCUAAUACAUUUUCACAUCUACAGCUGGAUAAUCUAACUUUCACACCAGUGAGUGGCCUGAAGGCACAUGGGGCCAUCACCUUGCUGAAUCUAAGCAGGUCUGAGUCUGGUUAACUGCCUGGAUGGGAUAUCACUUUGGAGACAUGUGUACACUAACCUGAGUUCUAUGAUGGGGGAGAAGGCAGGAUAGAUAUGAGAAUAAAUAUACACAGAAGGUCCCCCCCCCCCGUUAUGAACAGGAAGACCCUUUUUUGUGGACCCAAAUCUGCUCUAGAGGGUCCUGUGCAUGGACACCAUUGGAUACAACCCUGUAUUUUUUUACUUGCUUUUAAAAUUUCAUUUGUAAAGACAACUGAUGGAAUCUACCUAUAGUAUGUCAUCUGUUUUGUUUAAGUUGAUAUGCCCAUGGGUACCAUAUACAAGUGAUUAUUUUGUGUAGGAUAGAAUCAAGGACUAUGAAUCAGGAAAUCCCUUUUUUAUUUUUUAUUUUAAAUGAUAUUUAUUAAAAUUUCCGAUUAAAAAAAAGAACACAUCAGUAGAAAAGAAUUAAAAGUAAAAAGAAAAAUACACAAUACAGAAAUACACAAUACAAAAUACAAAAAAGAAAGAAAGAAAGAAAAAACAGUUAAAAACAAUACCACCUUUUCAUCACCACUUUUGAAUUUACUUAUUUUCUGGACCUCCUCAUACCUCCCUCUUUUGUAUUCCAGUUCAAUUUGUUUGUCCAGCAAUUUCUUUCCCUCUUUUUUAAUCCCAAUCCUUAAUCUUAAUAUGGUAUAACAUUAAAUUCUUAUCUAUUAAUAGCCAGUUUUCCGUUCUUUUAACCUUUUAUGCCUAAUCCUUAAUCUUAGUCUAUAUAUAACUUUAACGCCUGUGCAGCUAGAAACCACUUAAUUUCAAUCCAUCAUCACUCUAACAUUCUUUAAUUUUGCAAUGUUUCUGUAGAUAAUCUUUAAAUUUCUUCCAAUCUUCUUCCACCGACUCUUCUCCCUGGUCACGGAUUCUACCAGUCAUUUCCGCCAGUUCCAUAUAGUCCAUCAGUUUCAUCUGCCAUUCCUCCAGUGUGGGAAGCUCUUGUGUCUUCCAAUACUUUGCGAUGAGUAUUCUUGCUGCUGUUGUUGCGUACAUAAAGAAAGUUCUAUCCUUUUUUAACACCGAUUGGCCGACUAUGCCCAGGAGAAAGGCCUCUGGUUUCUUGGGGAAGGUAUAUUUAAAUACCUUUUUUAAUUCAUUAUAUAUCAUUUCCCAGAAAGCCUUAAUCUUUGGGCACGUCCACCAAAGGUGAAAAAAUGUACCUUCAGUUUCUUUACAUUUCCAACAUUUAUUAUCGGGCAAAGGAAAUCCCUUUUUUAAAUCCUGCCUUUCAAGCUUUUUGUCACAGUGCCAUUCAACUGUCUCCCUCCACAUACAGGAAGCAGGGUAAUGGAUUUGGACAGAUAAUGGAAUUUGAUGGCAUAGCCAUCAGAGAAUAGUACCCCAUCCAGUUUGUAAGGUGUGGCCACUCUCAUGAAUUCGCAGGAACGUGGGGGGAGGAAAUCUGAUGGCCUGGACACUAGAAAAUAUUGCCCUGGUACUGAACUAUAACAAGAGAUAGAAUAAUGAUGUUCACAGAGCAUUUGAAAACAUUGCCAUUAAAGGAACCUGAAGGGGUAGGAUAAAAUGAUGUUUUCAGCUGCAUAUGCUAGUUACCAGCUGCGUGCUUGUGGAAAUUCACAAAUAAUUCAAGAAACAAUCUCUCACACAGUCCAGGUGGAGUAGGUAAGGCUUCUGGAGAUCAAUAAGACUGCAGAUGAGAACAUGUUCAUUAUUGCAUAUUUAUGGUAAAAAAGACCCAUUAGAAUGGGAUCUUCAUCAAGCAUCUCUUUCUAAAAAAGAAAACAACUCCUAAUGGCUUAAGAGAUCCCAUCACUGUUACCUUUCAUUCCCUUCAAAUGUAAGGAGUGGGUGAAACUAUUGGCCAAAUUUAUUCCCAUGAAGACCUAGGUGCAUGUGAAAAAAGAAGGGUGUGUAUUGUUUUUCCUUGGUACCCCCCUCUUCAGAGAUGUUGGAAUUGGAGCCAUCACAGAGCCAGCAUGACAGAACUUGCAUUUAUCCUCAGUCUUUCUGACAGACACACUAGUUCUAUCCAUGUAGUGAACUUCGUUAUAAAGGAUUAUGUAGGCCUGGGUACUAGAUACACAAUCUGGGUUUGCCAAUCUCUUUUUGGCUCAUGGGCAUUUUUGUAAAGAGAAGAAACUCGUGGACCUCUUUCUCUUUCUUUCUCUCUCUUUCUCUUUCUCUCUCUCUCUCUCCCACACCCACCCACACCUAUUCUAUUGGCUACAAUAGAAUGAAACCUAUAGCAAUCAAUGGGACGGGAUAGCCAUUUUGCGCGUGUGUGUGUGUGCUCACUUGCUCUUUUGGAUAUAUUCAAUAUUCAACUGCAAAAAAGCAGUGGAAUCAAUCAACACAAAGUUAGGCAUGUGCAGACCUAUUUAUUUCAAUAGAUUUAGUCAUUCUGAACUCUCUGCUGCAUUGCGGUCAGUGUACUUGAAGAGCCUUUUUUGUGGUUGCCAUUUUUAUACCACAGAAUAAUUGCAUGUCACCAGGAGUUGUCACAUUCCCUUUCCUGGUGCCCACAGAGCCCUUCCUAGCACUGAAACUAAACUUGAAAGAAACAUCUCUCACAUUGAAAUCAAUGGGACUUAAAAAGCAUUUCCCUUGUUCUAGAUCACACUAUGCUUGAACCAGACAUUGCAGAGCAAAUUUACUUAUAAUAGUCAUAAACUGAGUGAACUUCGCUG